rnacentral:lncRNA from 1 species
UGUCAAUGCGAGUUAUUAGUUAUUUUCUAUAUCAAUCCUUUAGAAAAUCAUGCCUAUAGGAAUUUCUUAACACGGUGGAUGAUAAUAUUUUCAGCAUGAUAAUCACUUAGAUAGCAUAUCUAUAGGUUUCUUACAAUUUUUAGCAUGUUAAAUAACUAAAUAACCUUCGGCAUGUUUAAAAUGAGAACUGCCCGAAAUAUUUUUUUUGCAUUUGAUAAACUGUUUUGCCA